AAAAAAAGCAAAGUACACUUGGAAGGAACCCAAGCAGGCGACUUGAAGAACAAGUGCCCCCAACUCCUAAGACUUGAAAUUCAUCUCAGCAUUCACACUGAAUUGACAGCUCCCCAAGGCUGCUCCUCACAGUGACUAAAUGUUGCCGGGAUUCUAAGGAAGACCUGCUCCUGGGAAACAAAGGACUCUCUUGUUGAUGGACUUUGGCUCAUUGACACCCUGCAGCUUUGUAGAACCUUCCUCAGAUUAAUCCAGGACAUUUCCGCCUAUCUUCUUCUCUCCACUAAGUCAGACAUGCAACAAACCAGUUCUGACAAUUCUCCACCUUCCCUGGUUUCUUCUCUUUUUCCUGUCACAGAGGAAAUUCUCUACUUCACCUCUCCCUGGGCUCAGAGAGCAGACAGGGAAGAGACUGCCAAUGAAUUUAUCCUUGCAGAGGUGCCAGGCAACAUCCACCAGACCUGUCUAUGUCUACAAGCAGGUUUUAGUGUCACAUUUAUG
rnacentral:lncRNA from 1 species